GACGAACGCUGGCGGCGUGCUUAACACAUGCAAGUCGAACGGAAAGGCCCUGCUUUUGUGGGGUGCUCGAGUGGCGAACGGGUGAGUAACACGUGAGUAACCUGCCCUUGACUUUGGGAUAACUUCAGGAAACUGGGGCUAAUACCGGAUAGGAGCUCCUGCUGCAUGGUGGGGGUUGGAAAGUUUCGGCGGUUGGGGAUGGACUCGCGGCUUAUCAGCUUGUUGGUGGGGUAGUGGCUUACCAAGGCUUUGACGGGUAGCCGGCCUGAGAGGGUGACCGGCCACAUUGGGACUGAGAUACGGCCCAGACUCCUACGGGAGGCAGCAGUGGGGAAUAUUGCACAAUGGGCGGAAGCCUGAGGCAGCAACGCCGGGUGCGGGAUGAAGGCCUUCGGGUUGUAAACAGCUUUCGCCUGUGACGAAGCGGGAGUGACGGUAAUGGGUAAAGAAGCACCGGCUAACUACGUG
rnacentral:rRNA from 1 species